AUACCAGAGAAAAGUCUCUGUGAAUAAAACGGAUAUUAUCUCAACUAUAAUCUCGAUUACAGAUUGCAGAUAACGAGGAUAUGAAGAACAUGAAGAUGGACUGGUUUCACAUGCAGAUGUUGCAGCAUCUGCAUCUGAGGUUGAGAAGACACUCAAUCU